GACGAACGCUGGCGGCGUGCUUAACGCAUGCAAGUCGAACGGAAAGGCCCUGCUUUUGUGGGGUGCUCGAGUGGCGAACGGGUGAGUAACACGUGAGUAACCUGCCCUUGACUUUGGGAUAACUUCAGGAAACUGGGGCUAAUACCGGAUAGGAGCUCCUGCUGCAUGGUGGUGGUUGGAAAGUUUCGGCGGUUGGGGAUGGACUCGCGGCUUAUCAGCUUGUUGGGGGGGGAGUGGCUUACCAAGGCUUUGACGGGUAGCCGGCCUGAGAGGGUGACCGGCCACAUUGGGACUGAGAUACGGCCCAGACUCCUACGGGAGGCAGCAGUGGGGAAUAUUGCACAAUGGGCGGAAGCCUGAUGCAGCAACGCCGCGUGCGGGAUGACGGCCUUCGGGUUGUAAACCGUUUUCGCCUGUGACGAAGCGUGAGUGACGGUAAUGGGUAAAGAAGCACCGGCUAACUACGUG
rnacentral:rRNA from 1 species